UAACUGGUCUGAGAGGAUGAUCAGUCACACUGGAACUGAGACACGGUCCAGACUCCUACGGGAGGCAGCAGUGGGGAAUAUUGGACAAUGGGCGAAAGCCUGAUCCAGCCAUGCCGCGUGUGUGAAGAAGGUCUUCGGAUUGUAAAGCACUUUAAGUUGGGAGGAAGGGCAGUAAGUUAAUACCUUGCUGUUUUGACGUUACCAACAGAAUAAGCACCGGCUAACUUCGUGCCAGCAGCCGCGGUAAUACGAAGGGUGCAAGCGUUAAUCGGAAUUACUGGGCGUAAAGCGCGCGUAGGUGGUUCAGCAAGUUGGAUGUGAAAUC
rnacentral:rRNA from 1 species